rnacentral:rRNA from 1 species
GAUGAACGCUGGCGGCGUGCCUAAUACAUGCAAGUCGAGCGAACAGAUGAGGAGCUUGCUCCUCUGACGUUAGCGGCGGACGGGUGAGUAACACGUGGAUAACCUACCUAUAAGACUGGGAUAACUUCGGGAAACCGGAGCUAAUACCGGAUAAUAUAUUGAACCGCAUGGUUCAAUAGUGAAAGACGGUUUUGCUGUCACUUAUAGAUGGAUCCGCGCCGCAUUAGCUAGUUGGUAAGGUAACGGCUUACCAAGGCAACGAUGCGUAGCCGACCUGAGAGGGUGAGCGGCGACACCGGAACUGAGACACGGUCCAGAGUCCUACGGGAGGCAGCAGUAGCGUAUCUUCCGCAAUCGGCGAAACGCUGACGCAGCCACGCCGCGUGAGUCAUGAAGGCCUUCGGAUCGUAAAACUCUGUUCCUAGGGAAGAACAAUUGUGUAAGUAACUAUGCACGUCUUGCCGGUACCUAAUAAGAAAGCCACGGCUAGCUACGUC